rnacentral:rRNA from 1 species
CGUAGGGUGCGAGCGUUAAUCGGAAUUACUGGGCGUAAAGCGUGCGCAGGCGGUUCUGAAAGUCAGCUGUCGAAAGCCCCGGGCUUAACCUGGGAAUUGCGGUUGAAACUACAGGGCUAGAAUCCGGCAGAGGGGGGUGGAAGUUCCACGUGUAGCAGUGAAAUGCGUAGAGAUGUGGAGGAACACCGAUGGCGAAGGCAGCCCCCUGGGCUGAGAUUGACGCUCAGGCACGAAAGCGUGGGGAGCAAACAGGAUUAGAUACCCUGGUAGUCCACGCCCUAAACGAUGUCAACUAGGUGUUGGGAGCGCAAGUUCUCAGUACCGCAGCUAACGCGUGAAGUUGACCGCCUGGGGAGUACGGCCGCAAGGUUA